AUACUUACCUGGCAGAGGAGAUACCAUAAUCCUGAAGGUGGUUUCCCCAGGGCAAGGAAUAUCCACUGCACUCUGGAUAUGCUGACCACUAUGAUUUCCCUGAAUGUGAGACACUCAUCGACAUAAUUUGUGGUAGUGGGGUGCUGCAUUCACGUUCUCCCCUU